UGACAGAAUGCCAGAGCCUUCUAAGUC
rnacentral:piRNA from 1 species